rnacentral:tRNA from 1 species
GAGAUGUUAACUUAAAAAUAAAGUGCCAAACUUUUAAUUUGGAAAUGGAAAUCCACAUCUUA